rnacentral:tRNA from 1 species
GGACCCGUGGUGUAGUGGUUAACAUGCCUGCCUGUCACGCAGGAGAUCGCCGGUUCGACCCCGGUCGGGACCGCCA